rnacentral:tRNA from 1 species
GGAGAGAUGGCUCAGUGGUUAAGAGCACUGGCUGCUCUUCCAGAGGACCUGGGUUCAAUUCCCAGCCCCCACA